AGCGUAGACGGAUGGACAAGUCUGAUGUGAAAGGCUGGGGCUCAACCCCGGGACUGCAUUGGAAACUGCACGUCUUGAGUACCGGAGAGGUAAGCGGAAUUCCUAGUGUAGCGGUGAAAUGCGUAGAUAUUAGGAGGAACACCAGUGGCGAAGGCGGCUUACUGGACGGUAACUGACGUUGAGGCUCGAAAGCGUGGGGAGCAAACA
rnacentral:rRNA from 1 species